UACGUAGGGUGCAGGCGUUAAUCGGAAUUACUGGGCGUAAAGCGUGCGCAGGCGGUUUCUUAAGUCAGAUGUGAAAGCCCCGGGCUUAACCUGGGAACUGCGUUUGAAACUGGGAGACUUGAGUGUGGCAGAGGGGGGUGGAAUUCCACGUGUAGCAGUGAAAUGCGUAGAUAUGCGGAGGAACACCGAUGGCGAAGGCAGCCCCCUGGGCCAAUACUGACGCUCAGGCACGAAAGCGUGGGGAGCAAACAGG
rnacentral:rRNA from 1 species